AGGUACUGUUUUAUGAGGGGGAAAGGGAAAAUUAUAAUAAUAUUAUUUGAAUAGAAUGUUAAGUUUUAUCCGAGGGUUAAACUUUUGAAAAUCUGCUCGAAAUGCGUCUAUCUCCCCCAAUCUUCCUAAAUAAAAAUCCAUUUCAAUCCGGGUCCAUCCGGUUGAAAUAUUUCGUGGUUCCGUGAUUCGACUCGUUCGAGUGAAACACAUUAUGUACGAGUAAGUAAAUAGUAGUAACCC